rnacentral:rRNA from 1 species
UACGGAGGGUGCGAGCGUUGUCCGGAAUCAUUGGGCGUAAAGGGCGCGUAGGUGGCUUCUUAAGCGUGCGGUGAAAGCCUGGGGCUCAACCCCGGGUCGGCCGUGGCGACUCGUGGGCUGGAGCACUGUAGAGGCGGGUGGAAUUCCGGGUGUAGCGGUGGAAUGCGUAGAGAUCCGGAAGAACACCAGUGGCGAAGGCGGCCCGCUGGGCAGUGGCUGACGCUGAGGCGCGACAGCGUGGGGAGCAAACAGG